rnacentral:rRNA from 1 species
AGUGAACGCUGGCGGUAGGCCUAACACAUGCAAGUCGAACGGCAGCACAGUAAGAGCUUGCUCUUACGGGUGGCGAGUGGCGGACGGGUGAGGAAUACAUCGGAAUCUACUUUUUCGUGGGGGAUAACGUAGGGAAACUUACGCUAAUACCGCAUACGACCUACGGGUGAAAGCAGGGGAUCUUCGGACCUUGCGCGAUUAAAUGAGCCGAUGUCGGAUUAGCUAGUUGGCGGGGUAAAGGCCCACCAAGGCGACGAUCCGUAGCUGGUCUGAGAGGAUGAUCAGCCACACUGGAACUGAGACACGGUCCAGACUCCUACGGGAGGCAGCAGUGGGGAAUAUUGGACAAUGGGCGCAAGCCUGAUCCAGCCAUACCGCGUGGGUGAAGAAGGCCUUCGGGUUGUAAAGCCCUUUUGUUGGGAAAGAAAAGCAGCAGGUUAAUACCCCGCUGUUCUGACGGUACCCAAAGAGUAAGCACCGGCUAACUUCGU